UACGUAGGGAGCAAGCGUUGUCCGGAAUCAUUGGGCGUAAAGCGCGCGUAGGUGGCCUCAUAAGUCCGCUGUGAAAGUCAAAGGCUCAACCUUUGAAAGCCGGUGGAUACUGUGAGGCUAGAGUACGGAAGAGGCGAGUGGAAUUCCUGGUGUAGCGGUGGAAUGCGCAGAUAUCAGGAGGAACACCAAUAGCGAAGGCAGGUCUCUGGGCCACUACUGACGCUGAGAAGCGAAAGCAUGGGGAGCGAACAGG
rnacentral:rRNA from 1 species